rnacentral:rRNA from 1 species
UACAGAGGGUGCAAGCGUUGUUCGGAAUCAUUGGGCGUAAAGCGCACGUAGGCGGAUUCCUAAGUCGGGGGUGAAAUCCUGGAGCUCAACUCCAGAACUGCCUUCGAUACUGGGAAUCUUGAGUCCGGAAGAGGUGAGUGGAACUGCGAGUGUAGAGGUGAAAUUCGUAGAUAUUCGCAAGAACACCAGUGGCGAAGGCGGCUCACUGGUCCGGUACUGACGCUGAGGUGCGAAAGCGUGGGGAGCAAACAGG